rnacentral:lncRNA from 1 species
GCCUCAGUCCUUCGCCGUCCCUCGCCGUCCUUCGCCAUCGCACGCCACCGCACCCCAUCUCUCGAAAUCUGCAGACAUCUUGAUUUUUCCCACGCUGUCUGUCAGGUCUCCGCCGCCACUCGACGCCAGGGCGCCGGGCCUUGUGGGCUGUGCUGCACCUCGGACGGCUUCGCACCAGCCAGCGCCCUCUCUCUCCUGCAGCACUCUGAUCUGCACCCCCUGAGGGGCUUCCACUGUCCGCGGGGUGAGAAUGCCCCUGGGAGUGUCACAUGACUGCCGCCCCAUGUGUGUGAGAGGCGUCCUCUGGGAGAGCAUGGAUCCUGAGGUCCCAGGAUUGUCAGCUGACCUCUGUCCUGUGUGCCCAGUGGCCCCAGGUGACGUGUCUUCAAGAAGAGGCUGAGCUGCGGUGCUUGUAAGAGUCAUGUGCUGUUCCUGGGGCUUGGAUGAUGUAGGGGAAGCAAGGUGAAAGUGGUAUCCCGUGGUUCCACGUUCUGUCCUGCUGUGGGGCUGUCCCUCACAUGCUUUCAGUGGCUGUUGCAGAGGAAGAGCCUCCGGAAAUCUGCGUGGGUCUCAGCCUUAGAUCCAAGGACAGUCCAAGGAAGUCCUAAGACCAUGGAGUUGGUGAUCUGGGAUCUGGGUUUGCUGAUAUUUCUCACCGUGAAUCUCUUGGUGGUGUUUGUGGGCACGAGAGGGGCAGAGAAUGGAGAGUGAGGCUACCACAUGAAGCGUCACCAGAGCUGCUCCCUGCUGCCUGCUCAGAGCACCCCGGAUCCACUGUUCAAUCUGCACAAGAUUCGGGGUCCAGACAUGGGAGACUUCAGCUGCCUCAGAGGACCGUGGACAGGGAAGGCCAGCCUCGCAUCCCUCUGUCCAUGCCUGGAAUGACUUUAAUAACCAAGAGUUUUAUUUUUGAAUUUGUAGCUGUCGUUCACUUUUUACCCACCCAUUCAAUAAACCUUACAGAAUUGCUCCA